UAACGGCGAGUGAAGCGGCAAAGCUCAAUUUGAAUCUGGCACCUUCGGUGUCCGAGUUGUAAUUUGAAGAAGGUAACUUUGGAGUUGGCUCUUGUCUAUGUUCCUUGGAACAGGACGUCACAGAGGGUGAGAAUCCCGUGCGAUGAGAUGCCCAAUUCUAUGUAAAGUGCUUUCGAAGAGUCGAGUUGUUUGGGAAUGCAGCUCUAAGUGGGUGGUAAAUUCCAUCUAAAGCUAAAUAUUGGCGAGAGACCGAUAGCGAACAAGUACAGUGAUGGAAAGAUGAAAAGAACUUUGAAAAGAGAGUGAAAAAGUACGUGAAAUUGUUGAAAGGGAAGGGCUUGAGAUCAGACUUGGUAUUUUGCGAUCCUUUCCUUCUUGGUUGGGUUCCUCGCAGCUUACUGGGCCAGCAUCGGUUUGGAUGGUAGGAUAAUGACUAAGGAAUGUGGCUCUACUUCGGUGGAGUGUUAUAGCCUUGGUUGAUACUGCCUGUCUAGACCGAGGACUGCGUCUUUUGACUAGGAUGUUGGCAUAAUGAUCUUAAGCCACCCGUCUUGAAACCACGGAC
rnacentral:rRNA from 1 species